AGCAACAGAACUGCUGUGUGACUCACCAUCGGUUUUAGAUGAUGGUCAGUGUAGUUCGAUUCAUCAGAGAAAAAUCUAACAACACAGCACUCCCAGAAAAAAUUGGUAGGCACGAUUGGACUCGAACCAACGACCCCCACCA
rnacentral:antisense_RNA from 1 species